ACUAUUUUGGCAGAACAGUGCAGUGGAUUUAGAAUCUAUUAAUAUGAUGAUUUAUCAUCAUAAGUAGUA
rnacentral:tRNA from 1 species